rnacentral:rRNA from 1 species
ACGACUACACUCCUACGGGAGGCAGCAGUGGGGAAUAUUGGACAAUGGGCGCAAGCCUGAUCCAGCCAUGCCGCGUGUGUGAAGAAGGCCUUCGGGUUGUAAAGCACUUUCAGUGGUGAGGAAGGCCUUGUAGUUAAUAGCUGCAAGGAUUGACGUUAGCCACAGAAGAAGCACCGGCUAACUCCGUGCCAGCAGCCGCGGUAAUACGGAGGGUGCGAGCGUUAAUCGGAAUUACUGGGCGUAAAGCGCACGUAGGCGGUUUGUUAAGCAAGAUGUGAAAGCCCAGGGCUCAACCUUGGAAUAGCAUUUUGAACUGGCAAGCUAGAGUUUUGAAGAGGGUGGUAGAAUUUCCAGUGUAGCGGUGAAAUGCGUAGAUAUUGGAAGGAAUACCAGUGGCGAAGGCGGCCACCUGGUCAAAAACUGACGCUGAGGAGCGAAAGCGUGGGGAGCAAACAGGAUUAGAAACCCUAGUAGUCCACCAAUCC